UGGGGAAUAUUUCACAAUGGGGGAAACCCUGAUGCAGCGACGCCGCGUGAACGAAGAAGGUAUUCGUAUCGUAAAGUUCUGUCCUAUGGGAAGAUAAUGACAGUACCAUAGAAGAAAGCUCCGGCUAAAUACGUGCCAGCAGCCGCGGUACUACGUAUGGAGCGAGCGUUGUCCGGAAUUAUUGGGCGUAAAGGGUACGCAGGCGGUUUAAUAAGUCGAAUGUUAAAGAUCGGGGCUCAACCCCGUAAAGCAUUGGAAACUGAUAAACUUGAGUAGUGGAGAGGAAAGUGGAAUUCCUAGUGUAGUGGUGAAAUACGUAGAUAUUAGGAGGAAUACCAGUGGCGAAGGCGACUUUCUGGACACAAACUGACGCUGAGGUACGAAAGCGUGGGGAGCAAACAGG
rnacentral:rRNA from 1 species